rnacentral:rRNA from 1 species
GAUGAACGCUAGCGGCAGGCCUAACACAUGCAAGUCGAGGGAGAAGCCCUUUCGGGGGCAGAAACCGGCGCACGGGUGCGUAACGCGUAUGCAACCUACCUUUCACAGGGGGAUAGCCCGAAGAAAUUUGGAUUAAUACCCCAUAAUAUUAUUGGAUGGCAUCAUUUGAUAAUUAAAACUGCGGUGGUGAAAGAUGGGCAUGCGUCCUAUUAGCUAGUUGGAGUGGUAACGGCACCCCAAGGCUACGAUAGGUAGGGGUCCUGAGAGGGAGAUCCCCCACACUGGUACUGAGACAGGGACCAGACUCCUACGGGAGGCAGCAGUGAGGAAUAUUGGCCAAUGGUCGGAAGACUGAACCAGCCAUGCCGCGUGCAGGAAGAAUGCCUUAUGGGUUGUAAACUGCUUUUAUAUGGGAAGAAUAAGGCGUACGUGUACGUUGAUGACGGUACCAGAUGAAUAAGCAUCGGCUAACUCCGUG